AUUGAACGCUGGCGGCAGGCCUAACACAUGCAAGUCGAACGAGUGGCGGACGGGUGAGUAAUGUCUGGGAAACUGCCCGAUGGAGGGGGAUAACUACUGGAAACGGUAGCUAAUACCGCAUACCAUCUGAUGUGCCCAGCUGGGUUUGGCUAGUAGGUGGGGUAAAGGCUCACCUAGGCGACGAUCCCUAGCUGGUCUGAUAGGAUGACCAGGGCACUGGGAAAUGAGACACGGUCCAGACUCCUACGGGAGGCAGCAGCGGGGAAUAUUGCACAAGGGGCGCAAGCCUGAUGCAGCCAUGCCGGGUGGAUGAAGAAGGCCUUCGGGAUGUAAAGUACUUUCAGCGGGGAGGCGUUACCCGCAGAAGAAGCACCGGCUAACUCCGUGCCAGCAGCCGCGGUAAUAC
rnacentral:rRNA from 1 species